UACGAAGGGGGCUAGCGUUGCUCGGAAUUACUGGGUGUAAAGCGCACGUAGGCGGCUUGUUAAGUCAGGGGUGAAAUCCUGGAGCUCAACUCCAGAACUGCCUUUGAUACUGGCGAGCUUGAGUUCGGGAGAGGUGAGUGGAACUGCGAGUGUAGAGGUGAAAUUCGUAGAUAUUCGCAAGAACACCAGUGGCGAAGGCGGCUCACUGGCCCGAUACUGACGCUGAGGUGCGAAAGCGUGGGGAGCAAACAGG
rnacentral:rRNA from 1 species